UUUCUCCAGAAUUCUCCCUGAAGAGAGGACAUUUGGAGUUUUUCUUUGUUGACACAAGCUUGCCGGAUUGAUGACAUAACUUUGUGUAAUAUAAUUUAUGCAACCGGUCUUGUUUAAAAUUUCAGGUAAGUGCUAUCUUGUGUCAUUGUUACAUCAAGUCACCAGCAAGCCUUGGAAGAGGGUCCCUCUUUCCUAAGUCUUCACAUAGGUUUCUUCAAAUUUUGCCUCAGGAGAGGAUAUUUGAAGUUUUUCAUUGUUGACAAGAGCUUGCUGGAUUGAUGACAUAACUUUUUUUUCUCCAUAAUUCAUGCUACAAUUCAGGUAAGUGCUAACAUGUGUCAUUGUUACGUCAAGUCACCAGCAAGCCUUGGAAGAGGUUCCCUCUUUCCUAUGUCUUCCCAAGGUUUUCUCCAAUAUUUCCUCCAGAGAGGACAUUUGGAGCUUUUAUUUGGUGACAUGAGUUGGUCUGACCCAAAGACUUCCCAUGUAUGAAGUGUGUUAUUUCAUAACUGUUGUAAAAUUUGACAGUGUUCAAUGAACUUGCCGUAUCGUUUGAAGUCACCAGCAAGACUUGUAAGAGGGUCCCUCUUUUCUAAGUCUUUCCAAGUUUUUUUCCAAUAUUUACAAUCAAGUAAAUAUUUGGAGCUGUUCCUUGACACGAGCUUUCUGGUCUGACCUGAAGACUUCACGUGGUUAAAGGUAUUAAUUGUAUAACUGUUCUUUAAUUUGACAACCUUCAUUUGACUUGCAGCAGUGUUACUUCAAGUCACCAGCAAGUGUUGUAACAGGGUCCCUCUUUCCUAAGUCUUCCCAAGGGUUUCUCCAGCACUUCCUCAAGAGAGGACAUUUGGAGUUUUUCCUUGUUGACAAGAGCUUGCUGGAUUGAUGACAUGACUUUGUUUCAUGUAAUUUAUCCUACAGUUCUUGUUUAAAAUUUCAGGUCAGAGUUAACUUGUGUCAUUGUUACAUCAAGUCCCCAACAAGCCUUGGAAGAAUGUCCCUCUUUCCUAAGUCUUGCCAAGGUUUUCUCCAAUAUUUUCUAUCCAAUUUUCUCUUUAGCUGCUAUAUUGUUCAUAUUAAAACUCUAGUCUCCAGUUCCAGAGCCACUUCAUACCAAUCCACUCUUUUACCAGUACACUCUUCGGGACAGAAGAACCCAAUUCACUGCUCCAUGAGGACGACGCCUGAGAUCCGUCUCACAUGUGAUGCAGUCACAUUAAAAUCCCCAGAGGCAGACAUCCUGCAUCUGAAUGUGCACAAGACCAGCAGCGUGAGCACAACCAGAAGAAGAAGAAUGCUCACUAAAAGAAGUUGGAUGAUGCUCAACUGACCAUGUAUCAGAGCAGACUCAGCGGGCCAGGCAGUCACAUAUGAUGUUUAGAUGGAGCCCUCAGCAGGUGUGAUGGAGGAUCUUCACAGUCAGCCAGAUGUGAUGGAGACACAGCUGCAGAGAGUCUUGGUUCACCCGCUGCAGACACAGUCAGGCGUGAUGGAGCUAUGUGAUCUGCAGACACUGUGGCUGCAGCUGCCACACAGAGAGAUGUUGGUCAGUGUGCUGGUGGGUUUCAGGUGCUCCUUGCCUCAGGUACAGGAGGUCAGUCUUGCCUCCUGGGUGAAUCCACCAUCCAAUCCAAGCCUUCAGAGGACAUCAAAGGACAAUAAUGGAGCAGCUUGAGCCUUUCCCCUAUCACAUUGUGAUUAUAUGAAUUAAAAAUACUGAAUUAAGUUAUUACUUU